CCAGGACUACACAGAGAAACCCUGUCUCAAGAAACAAGCAAGCAAACAAACAAACGAAUCUAGAAUCCAAUUCUUAGAAGUCAUUUAUGUCUUUGUAGCUGCUUAUUGAUUUUUUUCAGGGGGGUGGCAUGCAAGUACACCUGUGGUACUGUCUGUGGAUGUCACAGACUACUUUCAUUAGGACCUGGGUACCUUGUUUUUGAGCAGACUCUCUCAUUGACAUACAGCUCACUAAGUAGGCCAGGCUGAUUGGCUAGCCCUAAGGAUUUGCCUUCCUCUUUCUUCCCAGUGCUGAGAUUAUAAGGACAUGACAGGAUGUCUGUCUUUCCUUUCCAUGAGUUCAGGGGAAUAGGACUCAGUUCUCGUGUACACUUUCUAACUCUCCAGUUCUCAGUGAUGCUCUUCAUAGCAAAGUGGUGGGAUUCAGAAUCAUUUGGAGAAUUGUAUUACCUUCUCUCAGAUCUCUUUCUAGAACAUUUUUCUCAAUGUUUCUUUAUCUUUCCAGACCAUGGCAUUUUGAAAGAUAUAGAUCAUUUACUUGUAGGAUGUUCCUCAGUGUAAGUUUACAUCAGGAUUAAAUUCAGACUCUGUAUGUUUUCCAGUGAUAUAAAGGCCGUUGGAGGCUUUCAUGGCAUCUAAUCUAAUGUAGUGUGUGUCCCUGUGUUUGCUUACUUUGAUCACUCAGUAUGGUACCUGCCUAGCCUUUUCAGCAUACAGUUGUUCUUUUUUUCAAUGUAACUAAUAAGAUAUUUUGUGAGGACCCACCUUGAAACUAUGCAGAUAUUUCUGUGUUCUCACUCAGUUUUCAGUUCACUAGCUUAUUUUUGUAUGAUAGGGUUCAUGGUGUUUAGUUCGCUGUGCUGUGUUUGGUUCUCAGAUUGUUUCAGAUAGGUGUAUGGAUGUGACGCCAGUAAGAGCCCCUUCAAGUUGGUGUUAGUGUUCUCUUGUGUAUCUACCCUUUUAAUACUCCUAUGUUUUUUGUCCCUUCAGAUGUUUAGGGUUAUUUUACAGUUUCAUUAUUCCUUUCCUUCUUUUCCUGGGGUCUGUAUUUGUAAAGCUACCUGCUAAUUCCUAAUGCACAACAGUGCUUAGAAAGCAAGCGUUGGGCGUAGGUUUAUUCAUGCUGUGGGUGCUUCAUUCUUUCCAGGGUUAACUCAGCAGAAUGUAGGGGCAUAGAUAGGAAUAUAGAUAUAUCUGCAUCUGCCUCUGUUUUUAUAGCUACAUGUAUAGUGUUAAGUUCAAACUUACAUUUUAACACAAAAGAACUUAUUCUACUUUGGUUUUUGAAACGUCAGAACUUAGUAUUAAGAUGAUCCUUUCAAAGCUAUAGUUCUAAAAUUGUAAGUAUUGAUUAAAAAACAGGAUAGGAGUUAAAGUAGGUGGGACUAUGUUUACAAUGCUUAAACCUUGAAGCCUGUGCUAAAUAUUCUUUGACUUGUGAAUUUUUUUUUACUUUAGCCAGCUCCUAACCAAGUCACUUUCCACCUACCACUGCACCGCUACUAUGCUAUGUUUUUGAGUAAGGUGAGACAGUUCUUAAGGAAUUAUCUUGUUGUGUUAUUUAUAAUUUUCGGGAGAUUAUUGAUUUCCUAACCUUUUAACCAUGAAUUUUUAGGCUGUGAAAUGUCAAGAACUAGAUUUGGAUUCACUUUUACCGGAUCAGGAAAUGUUAAUGAAACUAAUGAUUCACCCACUCCAAAUUCAAGUAUGUAUUAAGGCUUCUAAAACAUUUGGAAUAGGAUUUCUGGGUUAACUCAUUCUCCUGUAAUUUUAGUUAAUGCUGGACAUAAAGAAUUAAAUUCUAAUAGAGUAAGAAUGAUUUCUCUAAUCCGAUUUUUGAUAGAAUUAAAUUCUGAUAGAGAAAGAACAAUUUCUCUAGUCUGAUUUUUUUAAAAUUUUAUUUCCACUUAUUUGUAAGAUGGGUUUUCUAGGUUGAAUGUUGAUUAGGUUGAAUUAAAGACUUUGACCAAUUAGACUUGCUUUAUGCUCACUUCUUUUAAACAUUAUGUAUGGUUUUUGUUUUUGGUAGGGCUGGGAUUGAAGGAAAAAUAGAAUGAAAAGGAAGCACUGCAUUUUCCAAAAAGAUUUCAUUGAAGUUUUUAUAAAUAUAUCCAGAAGCCAUAGUGGAAAACUAGCUCCUUUAUACACUUUGAAGAAGAGACCUAUAUGAAAUAUAGUCAUUAGUUUGGAUAUUUUUUUAAACAUAAACCUAUAUUAGUGGUACAGAGGCCAAUUUGAGGUGCAUAGUGGUUUUUGUCAUCAGUCUAGGAUCUAUCUCUAUCUCUCCAUAUUGAGGCCCUGUCCUAAAAACAAAAGCAAAAAAAUGUAUAUUUAGCUGGGCAGUGGUGGUGCACGCCUUUAAUCCCAGCAUUUGGGAGGCAGAGGCAGGCAGAUUUCUGAGUUUGAGUUCCAGGACAGCCAGGGUUAUACAGAGAAACCCUGUUUUGAAAAACCAAAC
rnacentral:lncRNA from 1 species